UACGAAGGGGGCUAGCGUUGCUCGGAAUUACUGGGCGUAAAGGGAGCGUAGGCGGACAGUUUAGUCAGAGGUGAAAGCCCAGGGCUCAACCUUGGAAUUGCCUUUGAUACUGACUGUCUUGAGUAUGGGAGAGGUAAGCGGAACUCCGAGUGUAGAGGUGAAAUUCGUAGAUAUCGAGAGGAACACCGGUGGCGAAGGCGGCCUUCUGGACAGUGACUGACGCUGAGACGCGAAAGCGUGGGGAGCAAACAGG
rnacentral:rRNA from 1 species